rnacentral:rRNA from 1 species
ACGGAGGGGGCGAGCGUUAUUCGGAAUUACUGGGCGUAAAGGGCGCGUAGGCGGCCUUCUAAGUCGAACGUGAAAUCCCCGGGCUCAACCCGGGAACUGCGUCCGAUACUGGAAGGCUUGAAUCCGGGAGAGGGAUGCGGAAUUCCAGGUGUAGCGGUGAAAUGCGUAGAGAUGUGGAGGAACACCGAUGGCGAAGGCAGCCUUCUGGGCCAAUACUGACGCUCAUGCACGAAAGCGUGGGGAGCAAACAGGA